rnacentral:rRNA from 1 species
GUCGUCAGCUCGUGUCGUGAGAUGUUGGGUUAAGUCCCGCAACGAGCGCAACCCUCGCCCUUAGUUGCCAGCAUUUAGUUGGGCACUCUAAGGGGACUGCCGGUGAUAAGCCGAGAGGAAGGUGGGGAUGACGUCAAGUCCUCAUGGCCCUUACGGGCUGGGCUACACACGUGCUACAAUGGUGGUGACAGUGGGCAGCGAGCACGCGAGUGUGAGCUAAUCUCCAAAAGCCAUCUCAGUUCGGAUUGCACUCUGCAACUCGAGUGCAUGAAGUUGGAAUCGCUAGUAAUCGCGGAUCAGCAUGCCGCGGUGAAUACGUUCCCGGGCCUUGUACACACCGCCCGUCACACCAUGGGAGUUGGUUUAACCCGAAGGUAGUGCGCUAACCGCAAGGAGGCUA